UACGUAGGGAGCAAGCGUUGUCCGGAAUCAUUGGGCGUAAAGCGCGCGUAGGCGGCCCUGUAAGUCCGUUGUGAAAGUCAAAGGCUCAACCUUUGAAAGCCGAUGGAUACUGCAGUGCUAGAGUGUGGAAGGGGCAAUCGGAAUUCUUGGUGUAGCGGUGAAAUGCGUAGAUAUCAAGAGGAACACCUGAGGUGAAGACGGGUUGCUGGGCCAACACUGACGCUGAGGCGCGAAAGCCAGGGGAGCAAACGGG
rnacentral:rRNA from 1 species